CAGUAGCCGCGGGAAUACGUAGGGUGCGAGCGUUAAUCGGAAUUACUGGGCGUAAAGCGUGCGCAGGCGGUUCGUUAAGACAGAUGUGAAAUCCCCGGGCUUAACCUGGGAGCUGCAUUUGUGACUGGCGAGCUAGAGUAUGGCAGAGGGGGGUAGAAUUCCACGUGUAGCAGUGAAAUGCGUAGAGAUGUGGAGGAAUACCGAUGGCGAAGGCAGCCCCCUGGGCCAAUACUGACGCUCAUGCACGAAAGCGUGGGGAGCAAACAGGAUUAGAUACCCCUGUAGUCCCUGUCUCUUAUAC
rnacentral:rRNA from 1 species